GCUCUGUCGACAUCCUUAUCAUACCAUCUGACAGUCAUGCGGGUCAAGUGGUAAAGCUUUGUGUAAAAGCAUCACAACAUGACUCUAAACUCUCGGAGAUGAGAUGUUAUGCUGUUGAGUACGUAGAACACAACACAACUCCAACAAUGGCACAACGGACAAUAAACACAGACUUGGGAAAUGUGUUUGGGUGAAUUUGCAUUCAACAAUGGAG